rnacentral:snRNA from 1 species
GAUCUAUCAGUUCGACGGAUAAG